rnacentral:rRNA from 1 species
UGCAGUCGACGCUUCUUUUUCCACCGGAGCUUGCUCCACCGGAAAAGAGGAGUGGCGAACGGGUGAGUAACACGUGGGUAACCUGCCCAUCAGAAGGGGAUAACACUUGGAAACAGGUGCUAAUACCGUAUAACAAUCAAAACCGCAUGGUUUUGAUUUGAAAGGCGCUUUCGGGUGUCGCUGAUGGAUGGACCCGCGGUGCAUUAGCUAGUUGGUGAGGUAACGGCUCACCAAGGCCACGAUGCAUAGCCGACCUGAGAGGGUGAUCGGCCACAUUGGGACUGAGACACGGCCCAAACUCCUACGGGAGGCAGCAGUAGGGAAUCUUCGGCAAUGGACGAAAGUCUGACCGAGCAACGCCGCGUGAGUGAAGAAGGUUUUCGGAUCGUAAAACUCUGUUGUUAGAGAAGAACAAGGAUGAGAGUAACUGUUCAUCCCUUGACGGUAUCUAACCAGAAAGCCACGGCUAACUACGUGCCAGCAGCCGCGGUAAUACGUAGGUGGCAAGCGUUGUCCGGAUUUAUUGGGCGUAAAGCGAGCGCAGGCGGUUUCUUAAGUCUGAUGUGAAAGCCCCCGGCUCAACCGGGGAGGGUCAUUGGAAACUGGGAGACUUGAGUGCAGAAGAGGAGAGUGGAAUUCCAUGUGUAGCGGUGAAAUGCGUAGAUAUAUGGAGGAACACCAGUGGCGAAGGCGGCUCUCUGGUCUGUAACUGACGCUGAGGCUCGAAAGCGUGGGGAGCAAACAGGAUUAGAUACCCUGGUAGUCCACGCCGUAAACGAUGAGUGCUAAGUGUUGGAGGGUUUCCGCCCUUCAGUGCUGCAGCUAACGCAUUAAGCACUCCGCCUGGGGAGUACGACCGCAAGGUUGAAACUCAAAGGAAUUGACGGGGGCCCGCACAAGCGGUGGAGCAUGUGGUUUAAUUCGAAGCAACGCGAAGAACCUUACCAGGUCUUGACAUCCUUUGACCACUCUAGAGAUAGAGCUUCCCCUUCGGGGGCAAAGUGACAGGUGGUGCAUGGUUGUCGUCAGCUCGUGUCCUGAGAUGUUGGGUUAAUUCCCCCAACGAGCGCAACCCUUAUUGUUAGUGCCAUCAUUCAGUUGGGCCCUCUAGCAAAACUGCCGGGAGAAAACCGAGGAAAGGUGGGGA